UACGUAGGGGGCAAGCGUUGUCCGGAUUUAUUGGGCGUAAAGAGCGUGUAGGCGGCCAGGUAGGUCAGCUGUGAAAACUCGAGGCUCAACCUCGAGACGCCGGUUGAAACCAUCUGGCUAGAGUCCGGAAGAGGAGAGUGGAAUUCCUGGUGUAGCGGUGAAAUGCGCAGAUAUCAGGAAGGACACCCGUGGCUAAGGCGGCUCUCUAGUACGGUACUGACGCUGAGACGCGAAAGCGUGGGGAGCGAACAGG
rnacentral:rRNA from 1 species